rnacentral:rRNA from 1 species
UACGUAGGGUGCAAGCGUUGUCCGGAAUUAUUGGGCGUAAAGCGCACGUAGGCGGAUUGUUAAGUCAGGGGUGAAAUCCUGGAGCUCAACUCCAGAACUGCCUUUGAUACUGGCAAUCUCGAGUCCGGAAGAGGUGAGUGGAACUCCUAGUGUAGAGGUGGAAUUCGUAGAUAUUAGGAAGAACACCAGUGGCGAAGGCGGCUCACUGGCCGGUACUGACGCUGAGGUGCGAAAGCGUGGGGAGCAAACAGGA